rnacentral:rRNA from 1 species
UACGUAGGGUCCAAGCGUUAUCCGGAAUCACUGGGCGUAAAGCGUGCGUAGGUGGCGUGUUAAGUGUGAUGUUAAAUCGCGGGGCUCAACCCUGUCGGUGCAUCGCAUACUGGCAUGCUAGAGGGAAGCAGAGGCAAGUGGAAUUGGUAGUGUAGCAGUGAAAUGCUUAGAUAUCGUCAAGAACACCGAUAGCGAAGGCAGCUUACUAGACUGUAACUGACGCUGAUGCACGAAAGUGUGGGGAUCAAACAGG